rnacentral:rRNA from 1 species
AACGAACGCUGGCGGCAUGCCUAAUACAUGCAAGUCGAACGAGAUCUUCGGAUCUAGUGGCGCACGGGUGCGUAACGCGUGGGAAUCUGCCCUUGGGUUCGGAAUAACUUCUGGAAACGGAAGCUAAUACCGGAUGAUGCCGUAAGUCCAAAGAUUUAUCGCCCUAGGAUGAGCCCGCGUCGGAUUAGGUAGUUGGUGAGGUAAAGGCUCACCAAGCCGACGAUCCUUAGCUGGUCUGAGAGGAUGAUCAGCCACACUGGGACUGAGACACGGCCCAGACUCCUACGGGAGGCAGCAGUAGGGAAUAUUGCACAAUGGGCGAAAGCCUGAUCCAGCAAUGCCGCGUGAGUGAUGAAGGCCUUAGGGUUGUAAAGCUCUUUUACCCGGGAUGAUAAUGACAGUACCGGGAGAAUAAGCCCCGGCUAACUCCGUG